rnacentral:rRNA from 1 species
CCUAGGGUGGCAGCAGUGGGGAAUAUUGCACAAUGGGGGGAACCCUGAUGCAGCAAUGCCGCGUGGGUGAAGAAGCACUCCGGUGCGUAAAGCCCUGUCAGCAGGGAAGAAAAUGACAGUACCUGGGGAGGAAGCUCCGGCUAACUACGUGCCAGCAGCCGCGGUAAUACGUAGGGAGCGAGCGUUGUCCGGAAUUACUGGGUGUAAAGGGAGCGUAGGCGGGGAUGCAAGUUGGGUGUUAAAUCUACCGGCUCAACUGGUAGUCGCACUCAAAACUGCAGCUCUUGAGUGAAGUAGAGGCAGGCGGAAUUCCUAGUGUAGCGGUGAAAUGCGUAGAUAUUAGGAGGAACACCAGUGGCGAAGGCGGCCUGCUGGGCUUUUACUGACGCUGAGGCUCGAAAGUGUGGGGAGCAAACAGGAUUAGAUACCCGAGUAGUC